rnacentral:rRNA from 1 species
GACGAACGUUGGCGGCGUGCUUCACACAUGCAAGUCGAACGGAAAGGCCCUGCUUUUGUUGGGUGCUCGAGUGGCGAACGGGUGAGUAACACGUGAGUAACCUGCCCUUGACUUUGGGAUAACUUCAGGAAACUGGGGUUAAUACCGGAUAGGAGCUCCUGCUGCAUGGUGGGGGUUGGCAAGGUUCGGCGGUUGGGGAUGGACUCGCGGCUUAUCAGCUUGUUGGUGGGGUAGUGGCUUACCAAGGCUUUGACGGGUAGCCGGCCUGAGAGGGUGACCGGCCACAUUGGGACUGAGAUACGGCCCAGACUCCUACGGGAGGCAGCAGUGGGGAAUAUUGCACAAUGGGCGGAAGCCUGAUGCAGCAACGCCGCGUGCGGGAUGACGGCCUUCGGGUUGUAAACCGCUUUCGCCUGUGACGAAGCGUGAGUGACGGUAAUGGGUAAAGAAGCACCGGCUAACUACGUG